AACGAACGCUGGCGGCAUGCCUAACACAUGCAAGUCGAACGAGACCUUCGGGUCUAGUGGCGCACGGGUGCGUAACGCGUGGGAACCUGCCCUUAGGCUCGGAAUAACUCCCCGAAAGGGGUGCUAAUACCGGAUAAUGUCUUCGGACCAAAGAUUUAUCGCCUUUGGAUGGGCCCGCGUUGGAUUAGCUAGUUGGUAGGGUAAAAGCCUACCAAGGCGACGAUCCAUAGCUGGUCUGAGAGGAUGAUCAGCCACACUGGGACUGAGACACGGCCCAGACUCCUACGGGAGGCAGCAGCGGGGAAUAUUGGACAAUGGGCGAAAGCCUGAUCCAGCAAUGCCGCGUGAGUGAUGAAGGCCUUAGGGUUGUAAAGCUCUUUUACCCGGGAUGAUAAUGACAGUACCGGGAGAAUAAGCUCCGGCUAACUCCGUG
rnacentral:rRNA from 1 species